rnacentral:rRNA from 1 species
UACGGAGGGAGCAAGCGUUGUUCGGAUUUACUGGGCGUAGAGGGCGCGUAGGCGGCCACCGAAAGUGAAUUGGGAAAUCUCCGGGCUUAACUCGGAAAGGUCAACUGAUACUGCGGGGCUAGAGUGCGGAAGGGGCAACUGGAAUUCUGGGUGUAGCGGUGAAAUGCGUAGAUAUCGAGAGGAACACCUGCGGCGAAGGCGGGUUGCUGGGCCGACACUGACGCUGAGGCGCGAAAGCCAGGGGAGCGAACGGG